rnacentral:sRNA from 1 species
GCUGGGCGUGGUGGUGCAUGCCUGUGAUCCGAGCCUCUCCGGAGGCUGAGGCAGGAAGAUUGGGAGUUCAAAGCCAGCCUCAGUAAAAGUUUGGUGCUAAGCAACACAGUGAGACCCUGUCUCUA